CAGAGAUAGAAGAUAAGGCUCUGCCCACAGUCUCCAGGCUGCAGCAUCUGGUGAGGAAGGGAAGGUGUAUGGCUGCAUUGUUUUUCUCUUGGUGUUCAACUGGAAUAGAGCAGGAAAUUGCUUUGGAGAUGAGGAAACAAACUCUUAUGGAGACCUAAGAGACUGAAGACAUCUGGCGUGGACUACUCUGAUGGUAAAAUUGAAAGUACACCUAAAUUUGCUUUGUUACAGGAUUCUCUUCAGAGGACAAGAGAAGAUGUUACAUUCUCUGCAUGAGGACAAUUCUGCAGCAUCAAAAUCGAAUAAUAUUUGUUUUCUGGCAGCAGAAUUUUGUAUCAUAUUUCUAAAGACAGUAAGCACUUGGGUGGACGUCAAUGAAUACUAAACACUAAUUGAUCUGAUACAGCCGUAUGCACAUACACAGAUAUACAUGGUGGCUUGUAAUGGUUGAAAAAUUACGGUUUGGUUUUAUUAAAAGAUCUGUCACUUUUAGGUCAGAGUGGGAUUUUGGAGGGAUAGUCUCCCACAAUAGAAAACUACCCUGACAACAGUGGUGUUUUGAGGUUGUUUGUUGUUUGGCUUCUUGAUGAUGCUUAGCUAAGGAGACACUUCCUUUCAGAUUCUGUCUUCCAAACCCCAGGGCUCUGUUCUGGGCAGUUCAGCCUAAUGGAAUUAAGCCUGACAUGUUUCAACUCUAUUUCUUGAUAAAAUAAACAUAAAACAAUGGUUUAGAUUUCGAAUAAAACUCUUGAAGCAUGGGGU
rnacentral:lncRNA from 1 species